rnacentral:ncRNA from 1 species
UACCUGGUUGAUCCUGCCAGUAGUCAUAUGCUUGUCUCAAAGAUUAAGCCAUGCAAGUCUAAGUACGAGCUCUCGUACAGUGAAACUGCGAAUGGCUCAUUAAAUCAGUUAUGGUUCAUUUGAUCGUACAGUUUACUUGGAUAACUGUGGUAAUUCUAGAGCUAAUACAUGCGAGAAGCGCCGACCUCGCGGGAGGCGUGCAUUUAUCAGACCAAAAACCGGCCGCGUCUUCGGGCGCGUUCGCCUUGGUGACUCUGGAUAACUUUGCGGAUCGCACGGUCUAGCACCGGCGACGGAUCAUUCAAGUGUCUGCCCUAUCAACUUUCGUCGGUACGGUAUUUGCCUACCGAGGUUCUUACGGGUGACGGGGAAUCAGGGUUCGAUUCCGGAGAGGGAGCCUGAGAAACGGCUACCACAUCCAAGGAAGGCAGCAGGCGCGCAAAUUACCCAUUCCCGACGCGGGGAGGUAGUGACGAAAAAUAACAAUGCAGGACUCGUUCGAGGCCCUGUAAUUGGAAUGAGUACACUUUAAAAGCUUUAACGAGUAUCCAUUGGAGGGCAAGUCUGGUGCCAGCAGCCGCGGUAAUUCCAGCUCCAA